rnacentral:rRNA from 1 species
CUACGUGCCAGCAGCCGCGGUAAUACGGAAGGUCCGGGCGUUAUCCGGAUUUAUUGGGUUUAAAGGGAGCGUAGGCUGGAGAUUAAGUGUGUUGUGAAAUGUAGACGCUCAACGUCUGACUUGCAGCGCAUACUGGUUUCCUUGAGUACGCACAACGUUGGCGGAAUUCGUCGUGUAGCGGUGAAAUGCUUAGAUAUGACGAAGAACUCCGAUUGCGAAGGCAGCUGACGGGAGCGCAACUGACGCUGAAGCUCGAAGGUGCGGGUAUCGAACAGGAUUAGAUACCCUGGUAGUCCGCACAGUAAACGAUGGAUGCCCGCUGUUGGUACCUGGUAUCAGCGGCUAAGCGAAAGCAUUAAGCAUCCCACCUGGGGAGUACGCCGGCAACGGUGAAACUCAAAGGAAUUGACGGGGGCCCGCACAAGCGGAGGAACAUGUGGUUUAAUUCGAUGAUACGCGAGGAACCUUACCCGGGCUUGAAUUGCAGUCGCUGCCCACAGAGA